rnacentral:rRNA from 1 species
AGAGUUUGAUCAUGGCUCAGGAUGAACGCUGGCGGCGUGCUUAACACAUGCAAGUCGAACGGAGUUUACAUGAAACCUAGUGAUUGUAAGCUUAGUGGCGGACGGGUGAGUAACGCGUGGGUAACCUGCCUUAUCCAGGGGGAUAACAGUGAGAAAUUACUGCUAAUACCGCAUAAGCGCACAGAAUCGCAUGAUUCAGUGUGAAAAGAUUUAUCGGGAUAAGAUGGACCCGCGUCUGAUUAGCUAGUUGGUGAGGUAACGGCCCACCAAGGCGACGAUCAGUAGCCGGCCUGAGAGGGUGAACGGCCACAUUGGGACUGAGACACGGCCCAAACUCCUACGGGAGGCAGCAGUGGGGAAUAUUGCACAAUGGGGGAAACCCUGAUGCCAGCGACGCCGCGUGAGUGAUGAAGUAUUUCGGUAUGUAAAGCUCUAUCAGCAGGGAAGAAAAUGACGGUACCUGACUAAGAAGCCCCGGCUAACUACGUGCCAGCCGCCGC